GUCAGUGGAAGGUCAGCACUGGGCUAAGUUUGUUGAGAACUCGUCGACAAGACGAGAUUCAAGGUGAAUUAAUUACCUUAUAUACUGCCAUGGUGAAUGUCAAUAACUAUGAGUAGCAGUAAGAACAGCCCAGGGGAGCCUAACCACUGAUUAUGUCACAGUUUAAAGUAAGAUCCACACAUUUAUUUUGUUUUGGGGUCUAAUAUAGCCAACUGUUUAUUUAAUGUAGUCUUAUUUUUGAAGGAAGAAUUUAUUUUGGUUGUACAUGUCUUUGAAUUUGAGUUCAAGUAAAUAAACAUCAAUAUCAUUGAA